GGAGAGGGAAGCACUACAAUGAAACACAGUCGGGUUUAAGAAAUAAUAGUUCAUACAAUCAAAUUUGAGGCCUGUCGUCCAUCUUCAGAGGUUUAUUCGCGAACAAUUUUAAACGUUCACUUCUUAUAGGGAAAAGGUGGCUCAUAAGUCAUAACUGGAAAGCAUUGACAAGACCCUCUUUCUGAUAUCUCCAAUUUUGAUCCACACUCAAGAACGAAUACAGAGAUGUGCUUAUCAUUGUAAUUUGGGAAAUGUACUAAAACCAUCCACAGCCGCCGCAAAUGCCGUUCGGAUCUCGCUGCAGCCGCCGCUAUCCUCCGUCUAUUCUGACUUCAAGGCCGCCCCAACUCCGCACGCUCCGCCACCUCAUCCUCGUCAUCUCCGCUGUCCCCGACGACCCAUCGCCCCACGUUCAACAAAAAUCGGUCGCCCUAGACGACCCGCACCCGCUGGACAUCGCCGCCUCCACCGCCGGCGUCCGGAGCCACCACCCCGUCGGCGCCCUACUUCCCUGUGAGCGCCAACCUCUCUAUUUACAUCGGAGUGAUGGAUAUUAUCAAGUUAUUUUCUGAGAGCGUUACAAUCUUCAUCAAGUAAUAUCAG